AUUGAACGCUGGCGGCAGGCCUAACACAUGCAAGUCGAACGAGUGGCGGACGUGUGAGUAAUGUCUGGGAAACUGCCUGAUGGAGGGGGAUAACUACUGGAAACGGUAGCUAAUACCGCAUACCAUCGGAUGUGCCCAGAUUGGAUUAGCUAGUAGGUGGGGUAAAGGCUCACCUAGGCGACGAUCCCUAGCUGGUCUGAGAGGAUGACCAGCCAAAGUGGAACGGAGACACGGUCCAGACUCCUAAGGAAGGCAGCAGUGGGGAAUAUUACGCAAUGGGCGCAAGCCUGAUGCAGCCAUGCCGCGUGUAUGAAGAAGGCCGUCGGGUUGUAAAGUACUUUCAGCGGGGAGGCGUUACACGCAGAAGAAGCACCGGCGAACUACGUGCCAGCAGCCGCGGUAAUAC
rnacentral:rRNA from 1 species